UUAGAGCAUUGCCUCUAUUAAGUUUCAACAAUAUGAAUUGCUGCAUUCCCGGCUGCGUGUAUACGCACAAGCAAGGUCAAGAAAAAAGAUCGUUGUUUUCGAUUCGACGUCCCGAGUUUGCAUUCCCGGCUGCGCGUAUACGCACAAGCAAGGUCAAGAAAAAAGAUCGUUGUUUUCGAUUCGACGUCCCGAGUUUGCUAAGAGUCCUGCCGAAAAAGAACAUCGACGGAAAUUAACAAAUUUUAUACUCGGUAUCAGAGACCCUCUAAAAGGGGACAGAAUAAAAGAUCUGCUGCACAAAGAAAAGGCUUUCAUUUGUGAGGUACACUUUGCGGAAGAUGACCUAAUACUGCACAACACCAGAAAAACCUUAAAAACUGAUGCACUGCCAAAGUUUUUUUCUUCCAGAUCAAUGUCAAAACACACAUAAACAUAGCUGUUUCAUUGGACCUGGUCAUUUUGUGGGUAGCAUAUAGUGGGUGGAGGACAGAUAUUGCUCAAUUUUAAUCAGUCGAUCUUAAAAUAUUACCACUGAAAGAAUUCCUAGGUUUUUGUUGUUGCGCGAUAAACAUAAAUACUAUAGGCGCCAAACCUGGGGUAGCAUAUAGUAGGUGGAGGACAGGUUCUGUUGUUUAAUAAAUGGUUUGAAAUUGUAACUUGUGGGUCCAAUUGUCCAAUCUGGAAUGUGGAAGACCAGAGGCUUGAUUGGCUUGAGAAUGAAUUUAUAAAGUACAUGAGAGAUUGGAGGGUAAAUCUGAUUGAUAAUUUUCAAAUGAAUAGGUUUGUUCUUGAUUUCUACUACCUAGAUUGAAGUGGAUCAGAACCACCCAGGAGAAUAAAAAAGAAUAAUGGCAUGGUUUGUUGUUUACAACAACUAAUAUGGUUUCACUAGCAAAGCAGCUACUAGGAAGCCAACGCUAUGUCUGUUUAAAAGUGCUCACCGAGGAUGUGCUGGAAGCAACGUUUGGAAAUUUGGUAACUUAAACUUAAAUAGUUCCAACCCUCGGUGAAUUUAAAGUUCAUAAUGUUCUGUACAGAGAGCCUACAUGAGGCAUAACAAUAAUCCUAAUGUGGCACAAGUUGGGUAUGGUAUUUCUGCCCUGACACAAAGAAAGUCGAUUAAAAAGAUAAAAGGAGCUAAUACCACAUUUGGAAAUAAAAAUGCAUGGACAACUGUCUGUGAGGAACCACUACCAAAAUUUGCUAAAAAGACUUAAGUUGCUACCAAUCUGGUGAAGUCUACAUUUUUUGGCGAACCUGACGUUUCCUUGUUAUGCAAAUAGUACACCCGACAAACUAGUUUCUGAAAGUCUUUUGAAGGAUACUGCAGACCAAAGCCAUAGAAAUUGUUAAGUUACGACACGCUCACUGAACCGUGACAAUAGAAGGAGAAAUUGUGUGCAAAAUCAGGUCCAAUAUGGCGGUUUAAGAUGUUGUAGAAUACGUUGCAAAAAUAUAAACGCGCUUUAAAAGGUUUAAUUUGCCAUGCUUAAAUGCAUUGAUAGAAGGAAACAAAUAUAAGGCUGUAUUAGAAACGAAAAAAGUCAGCCAUUUAGUUUAUUCUGUAUUAAUUGUGAUAUAUUUAAGUGGUAAUACGCGAAAAUAGGAUUAUUUUUUUCUUGAGUUAAUUGCAGUUCCAAAAAUCUCGUUGAGCUCACAGGAUUUAGCAACUUCGUAUUUGUCGUAAAUUUGAAACUGUUAUUUAAUUUUACAUUCUAGAUUAUCUUGUGCUUUAAGCCUACUAUUACAUUAUAUACUGCCAUACAAGUUGCUGUACAGUGUACACUUUAAAACCAUAUCUGCACAACGGUAAGUUACUGUUCAGUCUGCUGGUAUAUUUUAUAUUUUUAAAUCAUACUUUAGGCUAUUUGUUUAAAAAUAAUAUUCACUCCAUACACCCAUAGUUUAUACAGAUUACAGAAUACUACCAGUACCAGAACAGUCAUGGGAAGUUGUUCAGCAGUGGAAUGUCAGAAUCGCUCCACCAAAGGCAUACG